rnacentral:rRNA from 1 species
GACGUAGGGGGGCGAGCGUUGUCCGGAUUUAUUGGGCGUAAAGCGUGCGUAGGCGGCUGCGCAAGUCGGGUGUGAAACCCCGGGGCUCAACCCCGGAACUGCAUCCGAUACUGCGUGGCUAGAGGUAGGUAGGGGGAGAUCGGAAUUCCUGGUGUAGCGGUGAAAUGCGCAGAUAUCAGGAGGAACACCGAUGGCGAAGGCAGCUCACUGGGACGGUACUGACGCUGAGACGCGAAAGCGUGGGGAGCAAACAGG